rnacentral:lncRNA from 1 species
GUCGGGACAGUCUACUUCACUAUCUUACAGAAAAGUUAGUAACACAUGUUCUACGUCAACACUUUUGUCCGCACUAGGCGCAAAUGAAAACUAGAUAGCUGUGGUCUAGUUGAGAAACAACACACGGUGUUCUUCGGCUUAGUUUAUUAUUUUUAAAGUAGGUCCAAAGAUUGAAUCGGUCAGUCUACAUCACUACCUUACAGAAAAGUUAUCAAAACUGUUCUACGUCAAUACUUGUGUACGCAAUAGGCGCAAAGGGAAGCUAGGAAGCUGUGUUGUACUUGAGAAAGAACACAGGGUGUUCUUCGGCUUAGUUUAUUAUUUUUAAAUAGGUCCAAAGAUUGAAAUGAACAGUCUACUUCACUACCUUACAGAAAAAUUAAUCAAACAUGUUUUACGUCAAUACUUUUGUCCGCACUAGGUGCAAAGGAAUCUAGGAAGCUGUGGUGUACUUAAGCGAAAACACAGGAUGUUCUUCGGCUUAGUUUAUUAUUUUUAAAGUAGGUACAAAGAUUGAGUCGGUCAGUCUACAUCACUACCUUACAGAAAUGUUUUCAAAACUGUUCUACGUCAAUACGUGUGUCUGCAAUAGGCGCAAAGGGAAGCUAGUAAGCUGUGGUGUACUUGAGAAAGAACACAGGGUGUUCUUCGGCUUAGUUCAUUUUAUUUUUUUAACAAGGUUCAAAGUUGGGGUCGGACACCCUAUCCCACCCUUACAGAAAAGUUAAUAAAAAAUGUUCUACGGCAAUACUUUUGUCUGCACUAGGCGCAAAGGGAAGCUGGGCAGCUGAGGUGUACAUGAAAUAAAAAAAAAACACAGGGUGUUCUUCAGCUUAGUUUUUUUUUAAAGUAGGUCCAAAGUUUGGGUCGGACACCCUAACCCACCUUUACAUAAAAGUUAUUUAAAAAUGUUCUACGGCAAUACUUUUGUCUGCACUAGGUGCAAAAGGAAGCUAAGUAGCUGAGGUCUACUUGAAAAAAAAUCCAGGGUGUUGUUCGGCUUAGUUUUGUUUUUAGGUAGGUCCAAAUUUGGGAUCGGACAUCCUAUCCCAUUACCUAACAGAAAAGGUAAUAGAGAAUGUUCUACGUCAACACGUUUGUCUGCACUAGGCGCACAGGGAAGCUGGGUAGCUGUGGUCUACUUGAGAAAGACACGGUGUUCUUCGGCUUUGUUUUGUUUUUGUUUUUUGAAAUAUGCCCAAAGAUUAAAUCGGACAGUUUACUUCACAACCUUACAGAAAAGUUAUUUACACAGUUCUACGUCAAUACUUUUGUCCGCACUAGGCGUAAAGGGAAGCUGGGUAGCUGUGGUCUACGUGAGAAAAAACACAGGGUGUUCUUCGGCUUAGUUUAUUGUAUUUUCAAAUCGGUCAAAAGAUUAAGUCGGACAUUCUACUUCACUACCUUACAGAAAAGUUAAUAAAACAUGUUCUAAGUCAAAUCGUUUGUCCGCACUAGGCGCAAAGGAAAGCUGGAUAGCUGUGGUCUACUUGAGAGAAAAAUAUAGUUUUUUUUUUUUUUGGCUAAGUUAAUUUUUUUCUAAGUAGGUCCAAAGUUGGGUCGGACACCCUACCACAGUACAAUUGUUAAUAACAAAUGUUCUAUGUCAAAACUUUUGUCCGCACUAGGCGCAAAAGGAAGCUGGGUAGAUGUUGUAUUCUUGAGAACAAAACACACGGUGUUCUUCGGCUUAGUUUAUUAUUUUUAAAUUAGGUCCUCAGAUUUAGUCGGUCAGUCUACAUCACUACCUUACAGAAAAGUUAUCAAAAUUAUUCUACGUCAAUACUUUUGUCUGCAAUAGGCGCAAAGGGAAGCUAGGAAGCUGUGGUGUACCUGAGAAAACACACAGGGUGUUAUUCGGCUUAGUUUAUUUUUUUUAGUAGGUCAACAGUUGGGUCGGACACCCUACCCCACUACCUUACAUAAUUGUUAAUAACAAAUGUUUUACGUUAAUCCUUUUGUCCGCACAAGGCGCAAUAGGAAGCUGGGUAGAUGUGGUCUACUUGCGAAAAAAACACAGGGUGUUCUUCGGCUUAGUUCAUUUUUUUUUAAAUAGGUCCAAAGAUUGAGUCGGACAGUCUACUUCACUACCUUACAGAAAAUUUAAUAAAGCAUGUUAUAUGUCAAUAAUCUUGUCCGCACUUGGCGCUAAGGGGAAGCUAGGUAGCUGUUGUCUACAUGAAAGGAAAAAAAUACAGGGUGUUCUUUAGCUUAGUUUUUUUUUUAAAGUAGGUCCAAAGUUGGGGUCGGACACCCUACCCCAGUACUUUACAGAAAAGUUAAUAAAACUGUUUUACGUGAAUUCUUUUGUCCGCACUAGGCGCAAAUGAUAGCUGAAUAGCUGUGGUCUACUUGAGAAAAAACACAUGGUGUUCUUCGGCUCAGUUUAUUUUCUUAUUAAAUAGGUCAAAAGAUUAAGUCGGGACAGUCUACUUCACUAUCUUACAGAAAAGUUAGUAACACAUGUUCUACGUCAACACUUUGUCCGCACUAGGCGCAAAUGAAAACUAGAUAGCUGUCGUCUAGUUGAGAAACAACACACGGUGUUCUUCGGCUUAGUUUAUUAUUUUUAAAGUAGGUCCAAAGAUUGAAUCGGUCAGUCUACAUCACUACCUUACAGAAAAGUUAUCAAAACUGUUCUACGUCAAUACUUGUGUCCGCAAUAGGCGCAAAGGGAAGCUAGGAAGCUGUAUUGUACUUGAGAAAGAAACACAGGGUGUUCUUCGGCUUAGUUUAUUUUUUUUAAAUAGGUCCAAAGAUUGAAAUGAACAGUCUACUACACUACCUUACAGAAAAAUUAAUCAAACAUGUUUUACGUCAAUACUUUUGUCCGCACUAGGUGCAAAGGAAGCUAGGAAGCUGUGGUGUACUUAAGCGAAAACACAGGAUGUUCUUCGGCUUAGUUGUUUUUAGAAGUUGGUCCACAGUUCGGAUCGGACACCCUACCCCACAACCUUACAGAAAAAUUAAUAAAGAAUAUUCUACGUCAAUACGUUUGUUCACACUAGUUGCAAAGGGAAACUGGGUAGCUGAGGUCUGCUUGAGAAAAAAAACAUAGGGUGUUUUUCGGCUUAGUUUAUUUUUUUGAAAGUAGGUCCAAAGAUUGAAUCACACAGUCUACUUCACUACCUUACAGAGAAGUUGAUAAAACAUGUUCUACGUCAAUCCUUUUGUCCACACUAGCCGCAAAGGAUAGCUGAAUAGAUGUGGUCUACUUGACAAAAAACACACGGUGUUCUUCGGCUUAGUUUAUUUUAUUUAAAGUAGGUCCACAGAUUGAGUCGGACAGUCUACUUCACCACAUUACAGAAAAGUUAAUCAAACAUGUUCUACGUCAAUACUUUUGUCCUCACUAGGCGCAAGGAGAAGUUGUGUAGCUGUAGUCUACUUGAGAAAACACACAGGGUGUUCUUCGGCUUAGUUUAAUUUUUCUUUAAAUAUGUCAAAAGAUUGAGUCGGACAGUGUACUUCACUAUCUUACAGAAAAGUUAAUAACACAUGUUCUACGUCAAUACUUUUGUCCGCACUAGGCGCAAAGGAAAGCUAGGUAGCUGUGGUGUACUUGAGAAAUAACACAGGGUGUUUUUCGGAUUGGUUUUUUUUACAUAGGUCUAAAGAUUGACUCGGACAGUCCGCACUAGUAGUAAAAGGAAGCUGGGUAACUGAGGUUUACUUGAGAAAACAAAUGCAGUCUGUUUUUCAGCUUAGUUUUUUUUUUAAAGUAGGUCCACAGUUGGUGUCGGACAAUCUACCCUACCCUUUAAGAAAAGUUAAUAAAUAUAUUUUGCACGGCAAAACCAUGUCCGCACUAGGUGAAAAUAGAGCUGCGUAGCUGAGGUCAACAUUAGAUAAAAAGUUUCGGUGUUGUUCGGCUUAGUUUUUUUCUUUUAAAGUAGGUCCAAAGUAGGGGUCGGACACCCUUCCCCAACCUUACAGAAAAGUUUAUAAAAAAUGUUAUACGGCAAUACUUUCGUCUGCACUAGGUGAAAAGGGAAGCUCAGUAGCUGAUGUCUACUUGAUAAAAAAUUCAGGGUUGUUCGGCUUAAUUUUUUUUUUUUUUACUAGGUUCAAAGUUGUAGUCGGACAUCCUAUCCCACCCUUACAGAAAAGUUAAUAAAAAAUGUUCUACGGCAAUACUUUUGUCCGCACUAGGUGCAAAGGGAAGCUGGGUAGCUGAUGUCUACUUGAUAAAAAAUCCAGGGUGUUAUUCGGCUUAAUUUUUUUUUUUUACUAGGUCCAAAGUUGGGGUCGGACACCCUAUCCCACCCUUACAGAAAACUUAAUAAAAGAUGUUCUAUGGCAAACACUUUUGUCUGCACUAGGUGCAAAGGGAAGCUGGACAGCUGAGGUCUACUUGACAAAAAGGGUGUUGUUCGGCUUAGUUUAGUCAAAGUAGGUCCACAGUUGGGGUCGGACACCCUAACCCACCCUUACAGAAAAGUUUAUUAAAAAUGUUCUACGGGAAUACUUUUGUUUGCACUAGUUGCAACGUGAAGCAAAGUAGCUAAGGUCUACUUGAGAAAAAAUCCAUGGUGUUGUUCGGCUUAGUUAUGUUUUAAUUAAAGGCAACAGUAGUAUACCGCUGUUCAAACUCAUAAAUCCAUGGACAAAAAACAAAAUCGGGGUAACAAACUAAAACUGAGGGAAAGGCAUAAAUAUAAGAGGAGAACAACGACACAACACUACAAUGUAACUAAUACACACAGAAACGGACCAAGCAUCAGACAAAAUCCCACGAGAAUAACAAAUAUAACAUCAAAACCAAAUACAUGAAUUUGGGAUAGACAAGUACCGUGACACGUCUUAUCGCAAUGUCAAUUUACACUCAAAAAUAAGAGAAAACAAACGACGCAACGUUAAAUUGUAACACACACAGAAACGAACUAUAAUAUAACAAUGGCCAUAUGCCUGAAGUAGGUCCACUGUUGGGGUCUGACACCUUAACCCACUCUUACAGAAAAGUUAAUUAAAAAUGUUCUACGGCAAUACUUUUGUCUGCACUAGGUG